rnacentral:piRNA from 1 species
UAAAUCGUUGUCAAUUAACUUGUUGCCUU